ACUCAAUCUGGCUUACAGCCUGCUCUCUGGAAUCACAGAGCACUUAAAGAUGGUAUUGUGAUCAUCCUCCUCUUGUUUGUUUUCUCAGAUGAACUGCAUGCAAUUUGAAGGUGGGGAGAUGCUCCCAUGCAUUGCAUCUUAUGCGCUAGUGCAUAAUAUAAUGCCUGGUAUAUGUAACAAUUAGGAAACUGGUUUUCAACUUAAUGCUGAAAAUGUUAAAAGCUAGAAGGCUGCCGAAAUUCAGUGAGGAGGAGAAACGAUGAGUGCAAAGAGAGAUCGUUUGCAAUUCCAGGAAAAGAACAGAAAUAUCUGAGGUUCAUUUUCAUCAACUGCAGGUUAUGGACACAAGAGUUUUGCAAAAAGAAAGAAUUACAACUUUAAAAAGUUUCAGGGUCAGUGCCUACC
rnacentral:lncRNA from 1 species